GAGAACUGUGAUCAAAUCAGAGAGAAAAGACAACCGUGAUCCAACUCUUAGCCUGGGGAGUGAUAUUUAUUAUUUUGCAGAAGGUUCCAUUCCAUAUUGCCAUGCUUUGAUCUGACUUCAUAAAGAGCAUCCAUAUGCUCUGAUCGAAUUGACCAGAGAAAGCCGCCGGCUUCAUCCCCUACUCCGAGGGGCCUACGCCAUUGGCACAGCUGACCUUAUCCCUUCGGAUUUGUCUCUUCUAUCCAGUGGGCUGAUGCGGACAUCUGUUUCUGGCUUGAAGCAACAAAUACAACAAUUAAUAAUAUGAAAUGUAACACUUGAGGGUCUAGCUUAUUAGUCAACUGCAAGGCUUGUCUUUACAAAUGUCCUGGAUUCGAUCCUCAAGAGUACCAGCUUGUCACCCUCGCGGUGUCUUACCUGUCUACUAGGCUUGCAGGAUGUUC
rnacentral:lncRNA from 1 species